AUAACUCAUUUUUUGCAAAAAUCUUAACUUUGUCUUCACUUAUCUUUCUAAAAAUCCAACAAAAAUCAAAAAUGGGCGCUGAAAAGGUAUUCAUGAAUAUUGUUGUCAUCGGACAAGUCCAACCUACCAAGGUCAUCAAAACCGUCACCAAAGCCGCACCAAAAUCUAGAUCAUUAAUAUAUUGUUAACUUAUGUAAACCGUCAAUUUCAAACUCAAAAAUGCCAUAGUCCUAACAAUACUAAUCGUAUGUAAUGUGUAUUGACAUAGCAAAAUAUAUCAGUUUUUUCCGUUA